rnacentral:rRNA from 1 species
GCUUACGGCCAUACCACCCUGAGAACGCCCCAUCUCGUCUGAUCUCGGAAGCUAAGCAGGGUCGGGCCUGGUUAGUACUUGGAUGGGAGACCGCCUGGAAAUACCAGGUGUUGUAAGCU